CAAGGGGAAAGUCAAAACAUUCCUCACACAAUGGGAUCUAAGAGUUUUGCUAGGUGUAGAGAUGAAUAUGUAUGAUGAUUCUGUUGUAAGAUAGUAAUGUUUAGUGCUUUUUGGUGCUACACCUUAUGACUUGAGUUUUUGAUGCUUGAAUUGUUCAUGUAAUUUAUGACAGGUUGAAGAACGUGGAAAAGAGCCUGGACAUAUUGAGUCUUUUGCUGUAACCCACAAACGCAAGAAUGGAACCUAUAUCAAUCAGGAUGCCCAACAGUUCAUGGAGGUUGCUACGACUCUUAUGGAAGAAUGCGCUGGCACAUCUGAAUCUUCUUAUGACACAAGUCUACAAAAUGAAGUCUUCGCUGAACUUAUACGGGAAGAUCAGCAUGAAAGGGUGAAGGGUUAUGGGCUUUGAGCUACCCGAAAUCAGGUUUUUGGACAGCAAGAGCAGAUUAACAGUACAAAGCUUUAGGAAGAGAUUGAUAGUCUGCGUUCCCAGAUGGAAGACAGGCAAGAAAACUAUGAAGCGAAGUUGAUGGUGAUGCAGAAACAGUAUGAAAUCAAAGUUGGAUGUGGUAAAUGCUGAGCUGGUCCAAGUCAAAUCUGCAUUGCAAGAGUUAAGGGAAAAAUCCAAGGACCUGGUUGCCAUGAUGCGGAACAGUUCCAUAUUUAGAGGGGCUAGUGAUCAAGGCACUGAUGUUGCUAGUUCACAGGUUCCUGCAGAUUCUUCAUGCGGAUCAACGGAUGAUGAUAACUGAUAAGAGUUCUAAGAGGGCCAAGUUCUUUAAAACCCUUUGCAGUCUAUGAUUUAACAACCAUCUCAUUGUACAUGAAUAUGAACAUUGAUUUGGAUCUUAGUUCUUGACAAUGGUCACAUUUCGUUUUGUUUUCUUGACAAUGAAUAUUGAGCUAAUUUGGCUAAUUUCAGUUUCUUAUGAGAUACAUGUUCGCCCACAGAAAUGAAUACAUUACUGUAUCUAAUACGAACAAGAUCAGCAUA